GACGAACGCUGGCGGCGUGCUUAACACAUGCAAGUCGAACGGAAAGGCCCUGCUUUUGUGGGGUGCUCGAGUGGCGAACGGGUGAGUAACACGUGAGUAACCUGCCCUUGACUUUGGGAUAACUUCAGGAAACUGGGGCUAAUACCGGAUAGGAGCUCCUGCUGCAUGGUGGGGGUUGGAAAGUUUCGGCGGUUGGGGAUGGACUCGCGGCUUAUCAGCUUGUUGGUGGGGUAGUGGCUUACCAAGGCUUUGACGGGUAGCCGGCCUGUGAGGGUGACCGGCCACAUUGGGACUGAGAUACGGCGCAGACGCCUACGGGAGGCAGCAGUGGGGAAUAUUGCACAAUGGGCGGGAGCCUGAUGCAGCAACGCCGCGUGCGGGAUGACGGCCUUCGGGUUGUAAACCGCUUUCGCCUGUUACGAAGCGGGAGUGACGGUAAUGGGUAAAGAAGCACCGGCUAACUACGUG
rnacentral:rRNA from 1 species